rnacentral:rRNA from 1 species
GAUGAACGCUGGCGGCGUGCUUAACACAUGCAAGUCGAGCGAAAAGACGCGGCUUUUGCUCCUUUGUCGUUUGGGGAGCGCGUGUGUGACACAUGAGUAUCCUGCCCUUAUCUGUGUGAUAUCACCUCGAGAAACGGGCUAAUACCGCAGAUAAUCUCUUGCACCGUGUUGUUCAAUGGAGAGUUUCGGCUUUUCUGUCUCUACUCGAUGCUUCUGCGCUGCAUUAGCUAGUUGGUACGGUCACGGCCUUCCACGGGUACGAUGCGUAGCCGACCUGAGAGGGUGAUCGGCCACACUGGAACUGAGACACGGUCCAGACUCCUACGGGAGGCAGCAGUAGGGAAUCUGCCGCAAUGGGCGAAAGCCUGACGGAGCAACGCCGCGUGAGUGAUGAAGGUCCUCGGAUCGUAAAACUCUGUUAUUAGGGAAGAACAAAUGUGUAAGUAACUAUGCACGUCUUGACGGUACCUAAUCAGAAAGCCACGGCUAACUACGUG